rnacentral:rRNA from 1 species
UUUCCGGUUGAUCCCGCCGGACCUGACUGCUAUCGGAUUGAUACUAAGCCAUGCGAGUCUUUGUAGUAAUACAAGGCAGACGGCUCAGUAACACGUAGUCAACCUACCCUAUGGACAAGAAUAAUCUCGGGAAACUGGGCAUAAUUCUUGAUAGAUCAUAAUGCCUGGAAUGGUUUAUGGUUAAAAUGAUUCGUCGCCAUAGGAUGGGACUGCGGCCUAUCAGCUUGUUGGUGAGGUAAUGGCCCACCAAGGCGAUUACAGGUACGGGCUCUGAGAGGAGAAGCCCGGAGAUGGGUACUGAGACACGGACCCAGGCCCUAUGGGGCGCAGCAGGCGAGAAAACUUUGCAAUGUGCGAAAGCACGACAAGGUUAAUCCGAGUGAUUUCUGCUAAAGAAAUCUUUUGCCAGUCAUAAAACCACUGGUGAAUAAGGGGUGGGCAAGUUCUGGUGUCAGCCGCCGCGGUAAAACCAGCACCUCAAGUGGUCAGGAUGAUUAUUGGGCCUAAAGCAUCCGUAGCCGGCUUUGUUAGUUUUCGGUUAAAUCCAUGUGCUCAACGCAUGGGCUGCCGAAAAUACUGCAUGGCUAGGGAGUGGGAGAGGUAGACGGUACUCAGUAGGAAGGGGUAAAAUCCUUUGAUCUAUUGAUGACCACCUGUGGCGAAGGCGGUCUACCAGAACACGUUCGACGGUGAGGGAUGAAAGCUGGGGGAGCAAACCGGAUUAGAUACCCGGGUAGUCCCAGCUGUAAACGAUGCAGACUCGAUGAUGCAUUGGCAUAAUAGCCAGUGCAGUGUCGCAGGGGAGCCGUUAAGUCUGCCGCCUGGGAAGUACGUACGCAAGUAUGAAACUUAAAGGAAUUGGCGGGGGAGCACCACAAGGGGUGAAGCCUGCGGUUCAAUUGGAGUCAACGCCGGG